rnacentral:lncRNA from 1 species
GGCUCAGCGGGUGGCGGGGGGGAUCCGAGGUAUGCCAGGAACUGCAAACAGGCAAUGGAAAAGGAGCCCAGAAAACAAUUUGUUUAUUAUAAGCAGGUCAGUCCUCCAGGGAAUUCGUGGAAUCAUGCAGUGGGAGAGGACAAUCACGGCACUGAAAUGGGUAUGGAGGAUCUGACAUUAAGAAACUUGGCAAUGACCAAUAGAAAGAAGAAAGUACAGCUGUUUAUGGGAUUUUCAGUCUUCUCAUUGAUAUAUCUCAUGAAAGAUUGCCUAAGAACUUGUCAUUUUUUUCACCCAAAUAAAAUAGUAUCUAUUGCUAUAAAAAAAAGUCAAUGACACUUUGGGAAAGCAUUAAGCUAUAUUUCAGAAAUGACUGUCCAAAUGUUGAUUUUUUUUGAAUGAUAUACUGUAGUUAUUAUUAGGACAAAAUCUGUCAUGUAGAAAAGAUUUUUCAGCCCUUAAGUGUACUCAUGAAUAAGCAAAAACUACUUCAACUGUGGAAAGCCUCAGCAAGUUGUUGUAAACAUGUGCCCUUGCAUGUAGAUAUUCAUGUAUGUACAGGUAUAGACUGAUAAAGAUCGACUGAGGUAAAUGUUUCAAGGAAAAACAAUUCAAGACUUUAGGAAACUUAUAUAAAUCUCAGUUGGAAAUCCUUUAUUUAUGAGAUUUCUUGAAUCCAGAUUGUUAAAACAUGUAAUUAGCUCAUCUUUGACACACAUCAGGCAAAUUUGUACCCAGUUUCCUUGGUAAAUAUCACUUAAUUGGGACUUCAGUAUGAUGACAAUAAUAAAAAAAAAUCACGCCUUGCA